UUUCUCUCUCUUACUUUACUCUUUCUCAAUCACCCACACGAUUUCAUCCUUCCAAUUUCUUCUUCACUCCUCAUUCUCAUCUAACAAUCUUCCCUUUCUUCUCUGAAGAGUCGCUGGCACCACCACCACCAUCGUCCCUCGUGCCCAGCUCGUGCCCGCCACCACCGCCGUCACUCCUCACUUUCUUCAAACACUGAUGUUGCUUUGGGGUUUUUUGCUUUGGGGUUGUCGACGAAAAGAAUGCUGUGAGCAUCAAACAUGUUUGUUAAUUUUCAGAUUCUUUUCAUGGGUUGUCUUGGUCCAUGGAUGAGAGAUCGUUGAAAGAUGCGUUUUCUUCCUUUGGGGAGGUUACUGAAGGUAAUCGUGCAUGUUGAGCUUAACCCUUUGAUUUACCAGUUGUAGUCUACGUGUUCGACGAAAUGUCUAAUUGAUUUCAGACCUCAGUUCAUCACGUGUGCUUCUGGGUCGAAACAUUUUGCUUCCUUGACUUUCAUAAUUCCAAGGUUUUUCUUUCUAAAACUAAAUUUUGUUUCAUUGAAGUUUCUUCUUUUAUAAUUCUUGUAACGAGAGAGAAAAUGAGUUUGAGAUGUUUAGGAUUUAGGAGCGUUUUGUUUCGUAGCGUUUUACUAUGCUUUUGUGAUUUUCUUGGAAUAUUGAGACAAACCAAACAAUGAGAAAUAUAGAGAUUGAAAUAAUAACGAAUUUGAGAGGUGGGAAACUAGAAUUUAUAUAUGAGGUAAAAGGAAUUUGAUGUCCAUUAGUAAUCACUCUGGAACUUCACCAACAAAAUAGCUUUUGGGGAUGAAGUUCAUUUGAUAAGUUUAGAUGAAAUUGCAUGACCAUUUUGAAACUUCUGUGGUGAUCACUAGUCUAUAGAAACAUUAAUGUCCUGUAUGUUGCUUUGUUUGGUUUACUUGGUGACUUUAAUUUGUUUUGUUAAUUUGGAUGGAGUUAAUUGUUGUAAUGUUUAUAAGAUUUGACCUUAAACAUAGUUUUGUAGCUAUAUUUAUUAGUUCUUACUAUAGCAAAUAACUUUCUUAUCUUAAAGUUUUUAUGAGAAAUUUUCAUGAGCUUUUAUUUUGACGAUUGUUUAUUUUUAAGUACUUUUCAUAACUUAGUAUAACCUUUUUGUUGUAGUUAAGGUGUUUGAAAAAAUAUCUGAGAGAUCUUCACUAGAUUUUCAUAGUUACUAAUGUGGCAGCUAUUGGGUCUCAUUAAAGUUUAACUUUAUUUUGAGAUGUAUUUACGAAACAGUGAACUAUAAAUAUGUUUUCUUGUCAUGUUUCAUAAGUAGAAAUCAUGUUUCUAACCCAAACUUUAUUCAAAUAAAAUAAAUUCAGAAAGGAACCUUUUUGCUUCCUAUAUUUAUCAUAUAUACUUCUCCCCUCUCCCCUUCGCUUCCCACAUAAAAUCCAUCUUUUUCUCUAUACCAACAAAUAAACAAAGAAACAAAGAAAGAAAACCCCCUCCAAAAUGGCUGCUGCACAUCAGUUCCCUAAGACCUCCAUGUACCUUGAUCAAAACCCCGAAGCCGCCCUCAAGAACUUCGACGACGAUGGUCGAGAGAAACGAACGGGGACAUCAGUGAUAUGUUAGUUUGG